AAAAACAUCGCCUCCUGCAAAAAUCAACGUAUAGGAGGUCCUGCCUGCCCAGUGACAUCUAGUUAAACGGCCGCGGUAUUUUGACCGUGCUAAGGUAGCGCAAUCACUUGUCUUUUAAAUGAGGACCUGUAUGAACGGCGGAACGAGGGCUUAACUGUCUCCUUUUUCCAGUCAAUGAAAUUGAUCUGCCCGUGCAGAAGCGGGCAUGACUAUACAAGACGAGAAGACCCUUUGGAGCUUUAGAUAAAAGGCCAACCAUGUCGAGGGUCCUAAUAAAAUUUUAAACCAAACAAACAGUUGACUGGCCUCUAUCUUCGGUUGGGGCGACCGCGGGGGAAAACAAAGCCCCCACGCAGAAUGGGGAUUAUACCCUAAAACCAAGAGGGACACCUCUAAGUCACAGAACAUCUGACCAAAAGAUCCGGCAAACAAGCCGAUCAACGGACCAAGUUACCCUAGGGAUAACAGCGCAAUCCCCUCCAAGAGUUCAUAUCGACAAGGGGGUUUACGACCUCGAUGUUGGAUCAGGACAUCCUAAUGGUGCAGCCGCUAUUAAGGGUUCGUUUGUUCAACGAUUAAAGUCCUACGUGAUCUGAG
rnacentral:rRNA from 1 species